CCCGCUGAACUUAAGCAUAUCAAUAAGCGGAGGAAAAGAAACUAACAAGGAUUCCCUUAGUAACUGCGAGUGAAGUGGGAAAAGCUCAAAUUUAGAAUCUGGCAGUCACUUGGCUGUCCGAGUUGUAAUCUAGAGAAGUGUUGCCCAUGCUGGACCAUGUACAAGUCUCCUGGAAUGGAGCAUCACAGAGGGUGAGAAUCCUGUCUUUGACAUGGACUGCCAGUGCUUUUGUGGUACGCUCUCAAAGAGUCGAGUUGUUUGGGAAUGCAGCUCAAAAUGGGUGGUAAAUGCCAUCUAAAGCUAAAUAUUGGCGAGAGACCGAUAGCGAACAAGUACCGUGAGGGAAAGAUGAAAAGAACUUUGGAAAGAGAGUUAAACAGUACGUGAAAUUGCUGAAAGGGAAACGCUUGAAGUCAGUCACGUUGACUUGGAAUCAGCUCUGCUUUUGCUGGGUGUACUUUCUUGUCAAUGGGUCAGCAUCAAUUUUGACCAUUGGAUAAAGUUGCUGGGAAUGUAGCAUCCUUUUGGAUGUGUUAUAGCCUGGUGAUGCAUACAGUGGUUGGGAUUGAGCAAUUCAGCACGCCACCAGGCCGGGUUUUGACCACGUUCGUGCUUAGGAUGCUGGCAUAAUGGCUUUAAUUGACCCGUCUUGAAACACGG
rnacentral:rRNA from 1 species